GAAGCUUCAAGCUUCUUCUCUUCUCUGAUCUCGUUGACCACCCAACUUUGAGAAACCCAUCCAUGACUCGGCAUACGGAGAGGCUUCAUGGGGGUGAAUACGAAGGCGCGACGGAGGCGUGGCAAGAGUUUCUGCGUUUCGCAGAGAAGGCCUCUGCGUGUUGCGACGAGGGUAUCGUUUAGGGAUUCGUUUUUGAUUCUUUGUUCUCGUUUCAGGCUAACAAUUUUGGGUAGAUGAUUUUGGUUCCCUUUUUUUGUAGGUUUUGAUUCACGGAAAAAUUCUCCUCUUCCUUCUGAUUUUGCUAUUUUAGGAUUUUA
rnacentral:lncRNA from 1 species